ACAAAUAUAAAAUGAUGCAAUGAAAAAUAUUGUUUAUUAGUAGAAUUCACAUGGAAUAAUUAAAAUACCAAAUUCAAUAUGCAUUUGAUUGCAUUAAUGUGGAAUGUAAAAGAUAAAAUUCGAUGCAACAUAGUGAUUGCAAAAUUGUCACGACGACAAUGAUAAUCAUAUAUAACAAAUACAUUUACUAAGAAUGAUUCGAUGAAAAUGGACCGAUAUUUUGGAUUCGUAAAAAAUAGAAACUAUUAAAUGAAACUAACAUAUAAAAAUUUCC